GCCAGGGAAAAUGAAAAAUAAGCAUAGUUUGAGUGACAUCACUUAGUUGCCGCGUCAACUCUCUUCAGUCACAUGCAGCAGCAGAACCAGAGAGUCAGACGUAUUUCACGAUAGAGCCUGGAGUCGGUGGUUCUUUUGUGAUGCUGGAUUUAAUCCGCUACAGACAGACGAUGAAGACCAUGAUCUGAAGAUGACGAGGGAUAACAGUUAAGUAGGUAAAGAGUCUGCGGGAAAACAGCACCUGAGAGAAGGUGGCAGUUCUAACAAGACCAGACAACUGUGAAUGGAGGUGAGGAUGCUUUUAUAGUGCACUAUGAUGGGGUGAUGAGGAUCAGGUGACGGUGAUGAGUAGUUUGGAGAGUAAGAUGGUUGUGGGUGGGGAUUCUUCUCAAUUCUUAUUUGUGCAUUCUGGUUUCCAUUCCUUGCUUCCCUUCCUUGACAGAAGAGACAAAGCAUUAAAGCUCCCAUAACACAAGCUGUUUCUGCAUUUCUGAUGUUAAUCUGGAGUACCUAUAGAGUAGUAAAUAUAUCUCGCUUACUGCCUGUGCUAACGUUACAUGCGAUUCUAUACGUCUAUUCUGGUUUGAUGCUGUUUUUUCAGCAGGGAAUAUGAUAAAAGUUGUGUUUUAAACUGUCCUUUAAGACAUGGGGGUUGUCUGUGUACUGUACACCAGUGGUUCUCAAACUGAGGGCCCUAGGUGGUGACACACAAAUUUAUCGUACAUUCUUUGUAAUUAAACCUCAGAAAAAUAAGGCUAUUAACCAACAGCAAUACAUUUUAUAAUUUAAUAUGUUUUUUAUUCAAAUUUAAAGUUUUACAAAGUUUUAUGUUUUAAAUUUUCUUUGGUGGCCAUGAAGGGAUGCACCGUACAAGGGGGGCCGCAUGCCCAAAACGUUUGAGAACCACUGCUGUACACAUCUGUACAGAUCUCACAGUAAGGAGAGUGAAUUGUAAUCUUUUACAUUUGUAAUUAAUUUGAUCCUUAUACAAAAUACUUUAUUCAACACCUUAAUUUCCACUUAAAAGCAUAAAACUGUACAAUGUGUUUUUAAAGGAUGUGAUUAUAAAACACACAUGAAUGGGGCUUAUACAACACGACAAUCAUGUAGCAGUGAUGGCAAAAUAAUGAUGGGCGUAGCUUGACAUUUGAGUUUGGGGGCCAGAGUGGUCUAUCAUUUUUAUCACAAACUAGAUCAUUAAAAUUAAUCAAAAAUAUUUUCGUAAAGGUCUGUUUUUCCUGAUCCCAUUUUUAAAAAUGUAGUUGGUGUGUAAUGUUGCUUUUACAGCAUAACACUGCAUUUUUUUUACACACAAAACAUAAACAUGCUAUAUUGCAUACCAUAAACACAACCAUAGCUUUAAAAACACAGGAAAACGGGACCUUUAAGGUUAGUCCUCCUAGAAUAAAACACAAUCUUUGAGCUGUGCACUGACAUCUUAAAACAUCCGACGGCCAUUGAUUUGUCAAGAUACACACCAGUAACGUCUUUUUCGAAGACAUGUUUGUAAAAGAUGCAUAAAUGUCUUAAAUGAAGGCCUAGUCCUUGCUUUAGAAAAGUUUUGUCUGAAAACAGGCCAAUAUGUACUAAUUAAAUCUUUUGUCUUUACUUUGGCUUUGGGGAAUGACUGUCGAGCACCUGGGAUAUCAGUUGAAAUAAUGAAUGACGUGAUGAUAUCUACUGACCCACUUCAGAACCAAGAAACUGCUUUGUAACCACUCUCUCACCACCAAUGCCCAGGAAGCUACCCGUGAGAAAUCAAGUCCCCACCAGAAAGGGAUUUUUUCAGGGAUGGCUGCAUCUUCACAACUCUUCACUGACCACUGCCUGCAUUUAUGCAUCAUCUGGUCAAUAGAAAGUUUUAAGCACACUUGGGUGGUUUCCUGGACAGGGUUUAGUUUAAGCCAGGACUAGGCCUCAGUUUAAUUAGUAAAUAUAACUAGUUUUUAAGGAACAUGCCUCACUAAAAGCAUUUCUUGUGUACAUUUUGAGGCAAAACAAAGGGCACCAAUGUAUUUAAAGAUAUGUCAGUGUAAGUUGUUUUCAGUUUGGACAAAUCUUACAUUUAUUUUAGUUUAGGACUACUCUGAUCCCUUUCCAGAAAACCGCCCCAAUACGUUUAAAAAAAAUUACAGCUGAAAAAAUAGCAAUACAUUUAACUGCCAUUAUGUUAUAGAUUGUUUAUCCAGAGGAAACUGUGUAUUUACAGUGUUUUCUGGUUUCUCCAAUGGUUUUUUAUUCCAAAAUCUAUAUUUCAAAGUUUUUGUCUUCACUUGUCACAGUUGCAUGUGGCUAGCUUGAUUAUGUGAAACAUUAGAGACAUAUACAGACGUACACUGGUUUUUCUGUAAAACACUCAAAUGUCAUACAAUGAAAGUGUUCAUGAAGCUUUAGAAUUUGUGUAAAUAAUGUAAUGUUAGUCAUGAUGUUACUUUAUAUGCUCUGUAAAAGUAAGCAAUAUUACUGUAUGUAACGAUUAACCAAUUACAUACUGUGUAAGUGUGUUGCAUGAUUACAUUGUGUAUAAACAAUAUGCUUGAAACAUUAUUGACCUCUUAUUAAACUUUAUAAUUGUAAUGUAAUGUAAUAGUAACACUAAAUAAACUAUUCUAUCCUAUGAAGACUAAACAAU